UUCUAUCCUAUCUUAACCUCCCAUCCUCCUCAAUUCCGCCGCACCCGCUGGAAGGAAAAAGGAUAUCGAGUCGCCCCCAAAGAAAAUAAAGGGAAAUACUACCAGCCCUAGCACUCUAGCAGAUUUGUGAAGGCUGCUGCCGCCGGAUCCCGUCCCGGUGCUCUUCGCCAACGAAAUCUCCCAGGGAUCCCCUCGCCAUCGUCCAUUCACCUGAAGGCACUAACUCCCCAGCAUUAGACCACUGGCGGCGCGCGAUUCCGAGGAGUCCUGAGGUAAGCAACUGCCGCCAGCCCCCUUUUCCCAUAUCUGAUCUGUGAUUUUCCUGUUUUUGUUUUCUGGCGGAUGUGAGAUCUGUUAGGUAGCUGCCGAAACCAACGUGGCAUGGGGCUGCAAUCUGGAAACGGAGGUAUGAAGUUCUUUUCGAGAUUGGAAUGCAAGAACCUUGUAAUAUGAGUUCGCCUGCUAUUCCUUCACUGCAACCUAUUGGUUUGGGACGAUUUGAUUUAGAUUUAGUGGUUACUGGCUGACACAAGCAAAAUAUUGCGGCAUCAAGAAUAACUCCUCGACAUGCUGCAACCAUACAAGGCAGAAUGCGAAUUUUCAAGCAACUCAACAGAAGACUUGCAAGGCGAAUUACUGUAGUAGCGAUGGGAAUUGGGAAGCUGCUGUACCAAUUGCUCUCUGCACAAACUAGCUGGAAGAAAAUUAUAUAUGGAUUUGCACGAUAUUUUCUGGUCAAGCUGUAAUCUUUUCACAAAUGUACAGUUCAAUUGUAAAUUGUUGCAGUUCUAAAGAAAUAAAGUUAACUUCUUCCAAAUAAUGCA